GUCGAGGAUUUUUCUCAAUGGGGGAAACCCUGAAGGAGCGACGCCGCGUGGGGGAUGAAGGUCUUCGGAUUGUAAACCCCUGUCAUCUGGGAACAAAGCGCUCCACCUAACACGUGGAUCGUUGAUAGUACCGGAAGAGGAAGCCGUGGCUAACUCUGUGCCAGCAGCCGCGGUAAUACAGAGACGGCAAGCGUUGUUCGGAUUCAUUGGGCGUAAAGGGUGCGUAGGCGGUCGGCUAAGUCGGGUGUGAAAUCUCACAGCCUAACUGUGAUAGGUCAUUCGAAACUGGCUGGCUCGAGGACUGGAGAGGAGACUGGAAUGGUCGGUGUAGCGGUGAAAUGCGUAGAGAUCGACCAGAACACCGGUGGCGAAGGCGGGUCUCUGGACAGUUCCUGACGCUGAGGCACGAAAGCCAGGGGAGCAAACGGGAUUAGAAACCCCAGUAGUCC
rnacentral:rRNA from 1 species